GGAUAUGUGUCUGAGUGGUUUAAAGUGUAACCUUUGAGUCGUUAUGUAUUUUUAUAAAUACCGUAAGUUCGAAUCUUACCAUAUCCG
rnacentral:tRNA from 2 species